UAGAUUCAUGACAGCCUUGUCCAUCCUGAAGCUGAACCUAACGUGCAGUAUGUCUCCUGCAGUAAGAACAUGCACCGAGUGGACACCGAAGCACUAGAGGAGGACAAGCAGCUGGGAUCCCCCAUGGACGUGGACGCUCUGGUCUAUGAAUCCCCCCAACAAACACUUCAGCUCCGCAAGACAAAGAUGGCAGACAUUCCAGUGCGUUACGCUAAACCUUUCCAUUCAGAUAAGCGUGAUAAAGAAGUUACCACAUUUAAUCUCCUAUUGAUAACAUAUAUUUCAAAAGGAAGGAAAGAUAGAUAGUGCAGUUCAUUCAUCUGAUGACUAUGAAGCUAUCAGUAAAGGAAAGCUCCAGAGAAAAAGUUAGCGUAAUGCUAACUGGCCUCCCACUAGAUUCACUGUUUGCCUCUUACCAUUUUUGGGGAAAGUAAGAUCAUGUAUUAUUUGGGCCAAAUGGUGCAGUUCUCAUCAUUUGUUUCUCAUUUUGUGGUAGGAGGAACCAGAAGACGUGUACGAGAGCGCUCACCCUGCUAUCGUUCCCCUUAAGGAAGCCACAGAGAACACGGAGGGAGAUGGGAAGGCUGGGAAAGCGAAGUAUGUCACUGUGCAUUAUUCCCGAAUGCCCAGCUUGGGCCAGGCGCAAAUCACUAAAGUACCACUGGAUGGCACAAAAGAUCCUAAAGAGGGGCCCAGUGUUCUUUACUCUGUAUUGGCCAAACAGCCACAGCAGUGAUUGUGGAAUUCAGGUUUUUUUCACAGUACCUGAUACGCCAAAUGUCAGUGUUCUUCAACCUCACUUCUCAUCCAUGUAAUGAUCAAACUCUCCUUACGAUUGGAAUCAGAUAUACUUCCAUACAAAACAUCGUGACAGUGUGCUAACGUGGCUAACAAGGAAUGCUGCGGCUAGUUAGCGUGAGGCUAUGUCAGAUGCUAGCACUGUUUUGUUCAACUAGCCUUUUGAGCAUUAUGUAAGAGCAGCACGUGGUGCAGUUUUGUGAACUAUUUCUUAAUCCACACUACUCAUGAUGCCUAGAAUAAUCACAUUUACUGGACAUCAGAAGGGUUCUCAGUCUAAAAUGGAACAAUUUAGCAUCCCAUAUUGGUCACUGCCCAAGAAGUUUCAACUUUGAGGAAAACAGUUUAGCGUCAGACUAAGUGAUGGUCUAGCAGAUGGUCUGGCAUAAUGGACCUUUCCAAAAUGGUCAUGAGUCAUGAGUCCAACAUAACACCUUAUAAUUUCUCUGAAUAUUAAUGCAAAGUCACAAACAGUAAGUAGAAUACUGACAUGAUGCUGUUUUUGUUAUGCAACCAAAAGAUCACCAAUCUUGUAAUGCCUGAUGUAUUAAUAAGUAACAAACUGUGUCAGUCCUUUAUGAAUAAUUGAAUAAUUUGUUUGAUUAAUCUUCCCUCUUUCAAUAAAACCAUGUUACGCA
ensembl:lncRNA